CUGAGAACGUCGCCGUGGUUAGCCCUUCUGACCAACAUAAACUUUUAAAAACCACUUACACCUCGCGACAAGCCAAGAGGAAGUGGAAACCUGGCCGUAUUGAUCUCCUCUUUUAGAGAAGAGCGAAGGAUUCCCAAGCCCUGGCCAAAUUAAUCUAACCUCGUGGCCACUAUACUGGUCGACAGCUGAGAUUUCAGAGGCAGAGGACUCCGCACCUCCGGAGCAGCUAAAACUGAAGGGCAACGUCUUGCUCAUCACGGCAGGAUUAGUAAGAAGCACCCUCCUCUCGAUAUCACCUCUCUGGACCUUAUCUAUGACCUGACUUGGAGCGUCAGCGAGGAGGAGAACAGGCCCACGGCUACAAGCCAUAUUUCCCGAAAUGGCUAGCACUUUUACCUCCGAUAGCUCCAGCAGGGUGAGCAGCUAACCAGUCGCGUGCGUUCCAGUAGCCGUAGGUGGCAGCUAACCCUCGCUGUCCCCUUCUAGAUUGUAGGCGUUCCCGCGUUGUAAAAUGAAACGGAGAGGUGAAAUCCCUAUCUGGCUCAUUCAGCCCCCAGAAAUGAUUUUUUUCCAAAUACUUGUUGCCCGCUGGUGAAAUAUAACUGCCCAACUCAG